UACGUAGGGUGCAAGCGUUAUUCGGAAUUACUGGGCUUAAAGAGUUCGUAGGCGGCGCAGAAAGUAGGGUGUGAAAGCCCUCGGCUCAACCGAGGAAUUGCGCUCUAAACUACUGUGCUUGAGGAAUCUAGAGGUGAGCGGAACUGAUGGUGGAGCGGUGAAAUGCGUUGAUAUCAUCAGGAACACCGGAGGCGAAGGCGGCUCACUGGGGAUUUUCUGACGCUGAGGAACGAAAGCCAGGGGAGCGAACGGG
rnacentral:rRNA from 1 species